AUUGAACGCUGGCGGCGUGCUUAACACAUGCAAGUCGAGCGGUAAGGCCCUUUCGGGGGUACACGAGCGGCGAACGGGUGUGUAACACGUGGGUGACCCGCCCUCAGCUCUGGGAUAAGCCUGGGAAACCGGGUCUAAUACCGGAUAUGACUCCAUGACGCAUGUUGUGGGGUGGAAAGCCUUGUGCGGCUGAGGAUGGGCCCGCGGCCUAUCAGCUUGUUGGUGGGGUGAUGGCCUACCAAGGCGACGACGGGUAGCCGGCCUGAGAGGGCGACCGGCCACACUGGGACUGAGACACGGCCCAGACUCCUACGGGAGGCAGCAGUGGGGAAUCUUGCGCAAUGGGCGAAAGCCUGACGCAGCGACGCCGCGUGAGGGAUG
rnacentral:rRNA from 1 species